UGAAUACGAGACGCUAAGGCGUCGAAGUAGUGUAUGUCAUACUUCCAAGAAAAGCUUGCACUGUCAUAAGUAAAAAAUGCCUGUACCAUAACCGACACAGGUGGGUAGGUAGAGUAUACUAAGGGGCGCGAGAUAACUCUCUCUAAGGAACUCGGCAAAAUAACUCCGUAACUUCGGGAGAAGGAGUACCUUAUUCUAUAAGGUUGCAAUAACAAGAUCCAAGCAACUGUUUAUCAAAAACACAGGUCUCCGCUAAGUCGUAAGACGAUGUAUGGGGGCUGACGCCUGCCCAGUGCCAGAAGGUUAAAGAAGUCGGUUAGCAUUAGCGAAGCUGGUAACUGAAGCCCUGUGAACGGCGGCCGUAACAUAACGGUCCUAAGGUAGCGAAAUCCUUGUCGUAAGUUCCGACCCGCACGAAAGGCGUAAUGAUUUGGAUACUGUCUCGGAGAGGGGCUCGGUGAAAUAGACUUGUCUGUGAAGAUGCGGACUACCUGCACCAGGACAGAAAGACCCUAUGAAGCUUUACUGUAACUUGAAAUUGAAAUUGGACUUUAUUCGCGCAGUAUAGGUGGGAGGUGUUGAUUAUAAUCUUGCGGGAUUAUUGGAGCCAUCAGUGAGAUACCACUCUUGUAAUGUUAGAUUUCUAACUUUGAAUCAUUAUCUGGUCAAAGGACAGUUUCAGGCGGGCAGUUUGACUGGGGCGGUCGCCUCCCAAACGGUAACGGAGGCGUACAAAGGUUUCCUCUGAACGGGUAGAAAUCGUAUCUAGAGUGUAAAGGCAUAAGGAAGCUUGACUGUGAGACCUACAAGUCGAACAGGGACGAAAGUCGGUCUUAGUGAUCUGACGGUACUGAGUGGAAAGGCCGUCACUCAACGGAUAAAAGUUACUCUAAGGAUAACAGGCUGAUCUCCCCCAAGAGUUCACAUCGACGGGGAGGUUUGGCACCUCGAUGUCGGCUCAUCGCAUCCUGGGGCGGUAGUACGUCCCAAGGGUUGGGCUGUUCGCCCAUGAAAGCGGUACGCGAGCUGGGUUCAGAACGUCGUGAGACAGUUCGGUCCAUAUCCGGUGUAGGCGUUAGAAUAUUGAGAGGAGCCUUCUUUAGUACGAGAGGACCGAGAAGGACAUACCUCUGGUGUACCAGUUAUCGUGCCAACGGUAAACGCUGGGUAGCUAUGUAUGGAGUGGAUAACCGCUGAAAGCAUCUAAGUGGGAAGCCCACCUCAAGAUAAGUAUUCUC
rnacentral:rRNA from 1 species